UCGGUCUUAGGUUUCUGACUGCAAACCUUCAAAGUUUGAGGAUUAUACCGAA
rnacentral:tRNA from 1 species